AAUUUAAUUUGGGAAUAUCAACAGAAAAUAUCUUCCAAAUAAUGUUAUAAUUAUCUAAAUCUUUUAGUUAUUUGGAAGAUAUAAGAUAAAAGAUUCUAUCAAUUGAAUAUUCAGAAUCCAAGCCCAAUCAAGCCUAUAUAAAGAGACCCAGGGGAGACAGAAAGGGGAGCUUCAUUCAUUCAUUCAUCCACCACUACUUUCACUUUUCUUUCAUUAUGUGUUUCUAAGCUCCUAAGGCUAUUCUGCUGUAAUUUCAUUAUGGAUUCUGAGGUUAAGUGAAUUAAUGCAAUUGUUUAUUUUGAUUAUUGAUUUAAGUUAUUCUCUCUCUAUGUCUUUCAUCUCUCUAUCAUAUUAAAAGCAAAGAUUUUUGCAUCAUUAUGUGUUUGAAUCUACAUGCAUAUUAAUUAUAUGAGUUUUAGGGUUUCUAGGUUUAAUUGAGAAUCUACUUUGAUUUAAUUUAGGAACUUUCAUAUGAUUAAAUGGUUUUUACUAUCAAUUGAGAAUGUACUUUGGUUGGUAGUAAUAAUUUCAACUAAAAUCAAUUGAGAAUUUACUUUGAUUGAUUAACUUUUAAUUUGGUUAAGAGAUUUAAGAAUAGACAUGAUUAAACACAAUAAACUUGAUUGAGAAUGUACUUUGGUUGAAUUUAUUGUGAAUAAUCUAGAAAGGUCUUGCAUUUGAUUGAGAAUGUACUUUGAUUAACUGCAUGAUCGCCCUCAAAUUAAUUAAGAAUGUACUUUAAUUAAUUUGAAACUUAAACAAUAACCAAUUGAACAAUGAUCUGUGAAUAACCGAUGAUGAAUCUAUUUUGGAAAAACAGUGGAAUUAGCCUGUUUCUUCAUAAUUGUUUUUAAGUUUUCUAUUUGUUUUACAACAACCUUUAAACAUCCUCACUUUUGUUCUUAAGCAUUGCAUAGCAUUCAU
rnacentral:lncRNA from 1 species